rnacentral:rRNA from 1 species
UACGGAGGGUGCGAGCGUUGUUCGGAAUUACUGGGCGUAAAGCGCACGUAGGCGGCUUUUUAAGUCAGGGGUGAAAUCCCGGGGCUCAACCCCGGAACUGCCCUUGAAACUGGGAAGCUAGAAUCUUGGAGAGGCGAGUGGAAUUCCGAGUGUAGAGGUGAAAUUCGUAGAUAUUCGGAAGAACACCAGUGGCGAAGGCGACUCGCUGGACAAGUAUUGACGCUGACGUGCGACAGCGUGGGGAGCAAACAGG